AGAAGUGCGUGCAUGGCUGGUGUCGGCCCCGGUCUUCAAAGCCGGUUGAGCUGCCCGCAUUGUCAGGCGACUGGUGCGUUUGAUUUCCAUGUAGUUCCGC
rnacentral:tRNA from 1 species